GGCGGCGCCGCGGCCGCGCAGCCUUUGUCUCGGGCCGCCCGGCGCGCGGGGCCCAGCGCAGGCAGGCCACGCGGGGACGGAGGAGGCAGAGAGGACGGGCAGUGAUGGAGAAACGGGAGAGGAGCCGGCCAAGCGCCACCGUCACCACCAUCACCAACCACCACUACCAUCACCAUCACUGACUGUCGCCCAUCCCAGCUCCCCUGCCUCACCUCCCAUCUCAUAUCCCUGUGCAGUGCCAACUUUAUCAGAUCAUCUCCUUUUCACUGGGUGCUACUUUGGAAAAGCGACAGAGUGCGCCAAGUCAGGAAUAAGUACAUCCGCUGUGGGACGUUUAUCUUCCCCUUUCCAUGUAGCUACCUCAAUUUUCCCGUCAGGAAAGGGGGCACAGUGGCAUUUCCUUCCUCUCAAUCACACUGAGAUGGCUGGGUAGCCUCCAGUUUUUCCAGUCCUGGUACUGGGCGGUUUUAUAUGCUUGGUGAUGAUGAUGAUAAAGUAAUGUCUUCAUUAAAUUGGACAGUUGGGAGUUUUCAAA